GGCGGGUUGAUAAGACCUAAUACAAUAGCCUUUAUGGUGAAUAAGUCUAGACGCCUUGUAGCGUUUGUUGAGACCCGCCGCCCUUUU
rnacentral:ncRNA from 1 species